UUUCGCGGCCCUUUAUAGCUUGUUGGUGGGGUAAUGGCCUACCAAGGCGACGACGGGUAGCCGGCCUGAGAGGGCGACCGGCCACACUGGGACUGAGACACGGCCCAGACUCCUACGGGAGGCAGCAGUGGGGAAUAUUGCACAAUGGGCGAAAGCCUGAUGCAGCGACGCCGCGUGAGGGAUGACGGCCUUCGGGUUGUAAACCUCUUUCAGCAGGGAAGAAGCGCAAGUGACGGUACCUGCAGAAGAAGCGCCGGCUAACUACGUGCCAGCAGCCGCGGUAAUACGUAGGGCGCAAGCGUUGUCCGGAAUUAUUGGGCGUAAAGAGCUCGUAGGCGGCUUGUCACGUCGGAUGUGAAAGCCCGGGGCUUAACCCCGGGUCUGCAUUCGAUACGGGCUAGCUAGAGUGUGGUAGGGGAGAUCGGAAUUCCUGGUGUAGCGGUGAAAUGCGCAGAUAUCAGGAGGAACACCGGUGGCGAAGGCGGAUCUCUGGGCCAUUACUGACGCUGAGGAGCGAAAGCGUGGGGAGCGAACAGGAUUAGAUACCCUGGUAGUCCACGCCGUAAACGUUGGGAACUAGGUGUUGGCGACAUUCCACGUCGUCGGUGCCGCAGCUAACGCAUUAAGUUCCCCGCCUGGGGGAAGUACGGA
rnacentral:rRNA from 2 species